GAGGAAAGUCCGGGCUCCGCAGAGCAGGAUGCCGGUUAAUGGCCGGCCGCUAUAAGUCGUAAGACCCAAGGCGAGGAACAGGGCCACAGAGACGAGCGUAUUAAGUUACGGUGAAACGCGGUAACCUCCAUCCGGAGCAAGACCAAAUAGGCAGACGAUGACGCUGCUCGCCGAGUCUGCGGGUAGGUUGCUUGAGCGAGUAGGUAACUAUUCGCCUAGAGGAAUGACUGUCCACGACAGAACCCGGCUUA
rnacentral:RNase_P_RNA from 1 species